AGAAGUCGCCGCGCGAACCGCAAGGACGCAAGCGCCCAAGGUAUGACUCAUGAUUGGGGUGAAGUCGUAACAAGGUAGCCGUAGGAGAACCUGCGGCUGGAUCACCUCCUUUCUAA
rnacentral:rRNA from 1 species